rnacentral:misc_RNA from 1 species
UAAGGCGUGUUGAUGCAUUC